GAAUGUGAGGGCUAUCUGGCUGUGACAUCUGUCACUCCAUUGAUCGCCAGGGUUGAUUCAGCUGAUCUGGCUGUCUAGGUGGGUGUCCCCUUCCUCCCUCACCGUUCCAUGUGCAUCCCUUCCGAAGCUGCAUGGUCAAAGAGGAUGGCCUUCCCCAAACAGAGACGGACUGGUCUUCGGUUGAGGGUAUACGAGUAGCUGCACUCCCCUGCUAGAACCUCCAAACAAGCUCUCAAAAAUCACAUUACUAUCUCAAUAGUUUCAGAGAAAGCCUUUAACAAAAUCCCACACCUAUUCAUGCUCAAAACACUACAAAAAAUGGGAAUAGAUAGAAAAUUCCUCAAAAUAGUG
ensembl:misc_RNA 7SK 7SK RNA